rnacentral:misc_RNA from 1 species
GAACUGCGAUAAGUAAUGUGAAUUGCAGAAUUCAGUGAAUCAUCGAGUCUUUGAACGCACAUUGCGCCCCCUGGCAUUCCGGGGGGCAUGCCUGUCCGAGCGUCAUUGCUGCCCUUCAAGCCCGGCUUGUGUGUUGGGUCGUCGUCCCCUCCGGGGGACGGGCCCGAAAGGCAGCGGCGGCACCGCGUCCGGUCCUCGAGCGUAUGGGGCUUUGUCACCCGCUCGAUAAGGACCGGCCGGGCGCCAGCCGGCGUCUCCAACCUUUUUUCUCAGGUUGACCUCGGAUCAGGUAGGGAUACCCGCUGAGCUUAAGC